AUACGGAGGGUGCAAGCGUUAUUCGGAAUCACUGGGCGUAAAGGGUGCGUAGGCGGUUUGGUAAGUCUGAUGUGAAAUCCUAUGGCUCAACCAUAGAACUGCAUUGGAAACUGCUAAACUAGAAUACUGAAGGGGCAGAUGGAAUUAGUGGUGUAGGGGUAAAAUCCGUAGAUAUCACUAGGAAUACCGAAAGCGAAAGCGAUCUGCUGGGAAGUUAUUGACGCUCAGGCACGAAAGCGUGGGGAGCAAACGGGAUUAGAUACCCCAGUAGUCC
rnacentral:rRNA from 1 species